AGAGUUUGAUCCUGGCUCAGAACGAACGUUGGCGGCGUGGAUUAGGCAUGCAAGUCGCACGAAUCCUAGCUUUGUAGCAAUACCGAGCUGGGGAAAGUGGCGAAAGGGGCAGUAAGGCGUGGGUAACUUACCCCGGAGUUCGGAAUAGCCUUCCUAACGGAUGGGUAAUACCGAAUGUCGUGACGAGGGGGCCUCCUCUUAUCACGAAAGCUCUGGCGCUUCGGGAGAGGCCCACGUGGUAUUAGCUAGUUGGUGAGGUAACGGCUCACCAAGGCCAAGAUGCCUAGCAGGUGUGAGAGCACGACCUGCGCCACUGGCACUGGGACACUGGCCAGACUCCUACGGGAGGCUGCAGUCGAGGAUCUUCGGCAAUGGGCGCAAGCCUGACCGAGCGACGCCGCGUGGGCGAUGAAGGCCUUCGGGUUGUAAAGCCCUGUCGAGGGGGAGAAAAGCUCGCAAGAGUUUGAUCGACCUCUGGAGGAAGCACGGGCUAAGUUCGUGCCAGCAGCCGCGGUAAGACGAACCGUGCAAACGUUGUUCGGAAUCACUGGGCUUAAAGGGCGCGUAGGCGGGGCUGCAAGUCAGGGGUGAAAUCCCACGGCUCAACCGUGGAAGUGCCUUUGAUACUGCAGUUCUCGAGGGAGGUAGGGGCGUGCGGAACUUCCGGUGGAGCGGUGAAAUGCGUAGAUAUCGGAAGGAACACCGGUGGCGAAAGCGGCGCGCUGGACCUCUUCUGACGCUGAGGCGCGAAAGCCAGGGGAGCAAACGGGAUUAGAUACCCUAGUAGUCC
rnacentral:rRNA from 1 species